AUAUAUAUCAACCUCUCUUGUUGAGUGGUUUGGAUGUGGGGGGUUUGCUGGCAUGUUCAGCUCCUCUGAAAUACAUUAGCAGAACAACCUGUUUCAUUGGUGUGAUAACUAUCUACACUAUUGAAUGUGAGGUGUGGUUCAGCCAUCUAACAGUCCUUGGACAAUUUAUCAUUA
rnacentral:misc_RNA from 1 species